UACGGGGGGGAGCAAGCGUUGUUCGGAAUUACUGGGCGUAAAGGGCGAGUAGGCGGCCUUCUAAGUCAGACGUGAAAUCCCCCCGGCUUAACCUGGGAACUGCGUCUGAUACUGGGAGGCUUGAGUAUGGGAGAGGGAUGUAGAAUUCCAGGUGUAGCGGUGAAAUGCGUAGAUAUCUGGAGGAAUACCGGUGGCGAAGGCGGCAUCCUGGACCAUAACUGACGCUGAGGCGCGAAAGCUAGGGGAGCAAACGGG
rnacentral:rRNA from 1 species